rfam:Aspergillus tubingensis CBS 134.48 unplaced genomic scaffold ASPTTscaffold_2, whole genome shotgun sequence.
UUCUCAAGCGAAAGCAAAGCCUUCAAUCUCAAACUACUUUAGUACAUCUUUACCGGUUUCGGACCAACUCUGCCAAAAUGUCUCCCUGCUCCUGCAACUGCUGCUCUGGCAACUGCUCCAGCUGCUCCUGCGCCUCUUGCAGCGUGAGUAACC